GGAGACAUCUUCAAGGAAUAAUGCCCCAUCGAUGUUCCCUCAUAAGACCUCACCUGAAGUAUAGUGUCUCACUUUCCUCAUCUCCAAAAGGAAAGGGUUGUAGUCCUUGAAUUCAAAGAUCCUGUCCAUCUUUCAACCUCUGACCCAUUGACCUGUACUCAGAGAGAGUGAAAACCAGGGUCCUAAGGUGUGAAUUCCACAGACCUACAACCAGGUCUCCAUAUAAAUGGAAAUCAAGCUUGGUUUCCUCUCAGAUUCUUCUCUGUGUCUAUAUCAAGGGAAGAGAUCUUUCCCUCUGCACAAGAAUAUCCCGGGAACAUCAUUGGAAGCUCUUCAGAAAUAAAAAUUUUCUGCUCCUAUUUAGAUCUCUCUAUGAA
rnacentral:lncRNA from 1 species